UACGAGAGGCCCAAACGUUAUUCGGAAUUACUGGGCUUAAAGAGUUCGUAGGCGGCGCAACAAGUGGGGUGUGAAAGCCCUCGGCUCAACCGAGGAAUUGCGCUCCAAACUGUUGUGCUUGAGGGACCUAGAGGUGAGCGGAACUGAUGGUGGAGCGGUGAAAUGCGUUGAUAUCAUCAGGAACACCGGAGGCGAAGGCGGCUCACUGGGGGUCUUCUGACGCUGAGGAACGGAAAGCCAGGGGAGCGAACGGG
rnacentral:rRNA from 1 species